CGAAAUUCCUUGUCAGGUAAGUUCUGACCCGCACGAAUGGCGUAACGAUUUGGGCACUGUCUCAACAACACACCCGGUGAAAUUGUAGUACCGGUGAAGAUGCCGGUUACCCGCGACUAGACGGAAAGACCCCAUGGAGCUUUACUGUAACUUGAUAUUGGAUUUUGGUAUUGCAUGUACAGGAUAGGUGGGAGACAGAGAAGCACAGACGCCAGUUUGUGUGGAGUCAAUGUUGGGAUACCACUCUUGUGAUACUGGAAUUCUAACCUGCGGCCGUGAAACCGGUCGGGGGACAAUGUCUGGUGGACAGUUUGACUGGGGCGGUCGCCUCCUAAAGAGUAACGGAGGCGUUCAAAGGUUAGCUCAGUACGGUCAGAAAUCGUACGAAGAGUGCAAACGCAAAAGCAAGCCUAACUGCGAGACGAACAGGUCGAGCAGUAACGAAAGUUGGAGUUAGUGAUCCGGCGGUAAGAGAGUGGAAUUGCCGUCGCUCAACGGAUAAAAGCUACCCUGGGGAUAACAGGCUGAUCUCCCCCAAGAGUCCACAUCGACGGGGAGGUUUGGCACCUCGAUGUCGGCUCAUCGCAUCCUGGAGCUGGAGUCGGUUCCAAGGGUUGGGCUGUUCGCCCAUUAAAGCGGUACGCGAGCUGGGUUCAGAACGUCGCGAGACAGUUCGGUCCCUAUCUGUCGCGGGCGCAGGAAAUUUGAAGGGAGCUGUCCUUAGUACGAGAGGACCGGGAUGGACGUACCACUGGUGUACCAGUUGUCUUGCCAAAGGCACGGCUGGGUAGCUAAGUACGGAAGGAAUAAACGCUGAAGGCAUCUAAGCGUGAAGUCCCCCCUAAGAUAAGAUUUCCCAUUCUUUAAAAGAAGUAAGACCCCACGUAGACUAUGUGGUUGAUAGGUCGGAGGUGUAAGUGUGGUAACACAUUAAGCUGACCGAUACUAAUAGGUCGAGGGCUUGACCUA
rnacentral:rRNA from 1 species